CGAUCUAGACAAAACAAGUCCACCGUGGGCUUUGAAAAACGCUUUCCUUGAUAAAAUUUAAGCGUUUUAUAAGAGGAUGCCGGGGAAGGUUUUCCGGUUUAUCCCGGAGGGCUUGUAGCUCAGUUGGUUAGAGCGCGCGCUUGAUAAGCGUGAGGUCGGAGGUUCAAGUCCUCCCAGGCCCACCAGUUUAUCCAUUACUUUCAUAAGUGCUUUUAAAAAAUAAGUACUUCUAAAAAGAUUGCUUCUAAAAAGCUUAUCAAAAUUGGCAGGCUUAUUGCUUUUGUGUGAGUAAUCCAAAGUUAAAGCAAAUUAAUGGCAAAAAAACAGUUCAAAUGCUAAAUACUAAGGAGUCAAAAUUCCUUGCAAAGUGAUUUUUACAGCGUCCAUUUGGUUGAUAUAAAUUCCAAAUGCUCAUAGACGUCAAUGCCUAUAUGAAACUAUCGGUUCAAUCAUAUCGCUUUGAGUUAUAUAGAUUUUGUAAUCCCUCUUUUGAUCGUUUUAAACGCUUUAUCCUGAUUUAGGGGCCGUAGCUCAGCUGGGAGAGCACCUGCUUUGCAAGCAGGGGGUCGUCGGUUCGAUCCCGUCCGGCUCCACCAUAAGGUCAUCAUCAUUGUUGUAAGAACAGUUUUGUAAAAGGUUUGCGAACCUUUUGCUUGUUCUAUUGAAAUUGUGAAGAGAAGAUAUAUUCAGACAUGUUCCUUUUGAAAGGUUUGUUCUGGAAGGUGAGGUUUUUCUGUGCAGAAAUGUUUCAGAAAAAGCUUUGUCAUCAGAAAGGGCUAUUGUCUAACAGCUUAGAUAAAAAACAAAUCUGAAAAAGAAAUCUUGUGUCGCAAGGGAAAGCUCAAAGCCCUUGCUUAUGAU
rnacentral:tRNA from 1 species